CUUUUUCUGUGACAUCAAGUGUAGUAUCUAUUCUUAUCAGUUUAAUAUCUGCUAUGUCCUCAACACAACUGAUUUUUAAAAUUUUUGGUUAUGGUGAUUUUUAUUGGGACAUGUGAAAAUGAAAGUAGGAAAUAUCUCAUUCAGUCUCUCAGUGCUUCACCAACU
rnacentral:snRNA from 1 species